UAGUCAUAUGCUUGUCUUAAAGAUUAAGCCAUGCAUGUCUAAGUGUAAACAUUUAUACUGUGAAACUGCGAAUGGCUCAUUAAAUCAGUUUUAAUUUAUUUGAUAAUACCUUACUACUUGGAUAACCGUAGUAAUUCUAGAGCUAAUACAUGCUAAAAAUCCCGACUUUUUGGAAGGGAUGUAUUUAUUAGAUUAAAAGCCAAUACUGGGGGGUAACUUCCAGUUUAAUUGGAUGAUUCAUAGUAACUGCUCGAAUCGCAUGGUCUUGUACCGGCGAUGAUUCAUUCAAAAUUCCGCCCUAUCAACUUUGGAUGGUAGUGUAGUGGACUACCAUGGUGAUGACGGGUAACGGGGAAUUAGGGUUCGGUUCCGGAGAGGGGGCUUGAGAUUUGGCCACCACUUCCAAGGAAGGCAGCAGGCGCGCAAAUUACCCACUGAACAUCGUUCGAGGUAGUGACGAUAAAUAACAAUGGGGGUGGCGACAAGCCACUCCCAAUUGGAAUGAGUACAAUGUAAAAACCUUAACAAGGAACAAUU
rnacentral:rRNA from 1 species